AGUAAAUAGAUACCCGGUAGUCCAUGCUGUAAACGAUGGAUGCUAGCUGUGAUGCGUAUCGACCCGCGUCGUAGCGAAGCUAACGCGUUAAGCAUCCCGCCUGUGGAGUACGGCCGCAAGGCUAAAACAUAGAGGAAUUGACGGGGACCCGCACAAGCGGUGGAGCGUGUUGUUUAAUUCGAUGGUAAGCGAAGAACCUUACCCAGGUUUGACAUCCUUGGAAGUUCUGCGAAAGCAGAGUGUGCCUUCGGGAACCAAGUGACAGGUGAUGCAUGGCCGUCUUCAGCUCGUGUCGUGAGACGUUAGGUUAAGUCCUUCAACGAGCGCAACCCUUAUAGUUAGUUGUAUUUUCUAGCUAGACUGCCCUGGUAACAGGGAGGAAGGAGGGGACGAUGUCAGGUCAGUAUCUCCCUUAUAUCUGGGGCUACAAACACGCUACAAUGGCCGGUACAAAGGGAAGCCAACCCGCGAGGGGAGCAAAUCCCAUCAAAGCCGGUCCCAGUUCGGAUUGUAGGCUGAAACUCGCCUGCAUGAAGCU
rnacentral:rRNA from 1 species